rnacentral:rRNA from 1 species
GUCUGUGUGAUAAUAAAUAUAAAGUCUAGCCUGCCCACUGACAUUUUAAAGGGCUGCGGUAAUUUGACCGUGCAAAGGUAGCAUAAUCAGUAGUCUCUUAAUUGGAGGCUUGUAUGAACGGUUGGAUGAGAGAGAAGCUGUCUCUUUUGUAAUUUAAAACUUGACUUUUAAGUGAAAAGGCUUAAAUUAGAUGGGGGGACGAUAAGACCCUAUAAAACUUUAUACGCUGUUUAAUUUGUCUUUGAAUUUUAAAUAAAUUAAAGUGAAUUAGCCAGUGUAUUUCGUUGGGGAGACGUUAAUAUAAAUUGUAACUGUUUAAUUAAAAAAUAUAAAUAUAAUUAUGGUAUGAUCCUUCUUUGUGGAUUAAAAGAUUAAGUUACUUUAGGGAUAACAGCGUAAUUUUUUCUGAGAGUUCUUAUCGAAGAAAGUAGUUGCGACCUCGAUGUUGAAUUAAAAUUUCUGUUAGGUGUAGCCGCUUAAUUAGUAGGUCUGUUCGACCUUUAAAAUUUUACAUGAUUUGAGUUCAAACC